rnacentral:rRNA from 1 species
UACGUAGGCAGCGAGCGUUGUUCGGAGUUACUGGGCGUAAAGGGUGUGUAGGCGGCCUAUUAAGUUUGGUGUGAAAUCUCCCGGCUCAACCGGGAGGGUGCGCCGAAAACUGGGAGGCUAGAGUGCGGGAUGGGAGAGUGGAAUUCCUGGUGUAGCGGUGAAAUGCGUAGAUAUCAGGAGGAACACCGGUGGUGCAGACGGCUCUCUGGACCGUAACUGACGCUGAGACACGAAAGCGUGGGUAGCAAACAGGAUUAGAUACCCCGA